CACAGACACAGAGUUACACGCUGCUUUUCCCUGAAGAUCACUACAUGGGGACUAGAACCUGAGAACACACACACACACACAAGAGUUACUCAAGUAGGGCUUUGCCCAGAUAAAAAGCCAUCCUGCAUCUUGGACCUGGAGGUACCAUGGCAGACAUAGAUGCAAGCAACCGACUCAAAGACACCAAGUCCACCGAAACAUUAACCAGACUGGUUCACCGAAACGUCAAUAACACCAAAACUGCAGAAAUGAAUGACUGGGAGAAACAUGCUGAGGACUUGGAUUUGAUUCAGUGGAAGAACCAUGUACAGCAAGUUAAGAGCGAGGUCCUGGAACAGAUGCAGAGCCAGCUCAGUGACCUGCUGGACAAGGCCCUAACAGAGUCCUUCCAGAAAUUCAUACAGAAUGGGCACUACGUCACGAAGGACGGGACAGCCUUAGCCAAUAGCACCAAUCCAAACAGAACACAUAUGGAAAAAGAUGGAAAAAUAUUUAUGGAACGACGAUCCAUUCUAGAGUAAGCAUUUUAUAUUGUGUGUGGGACACCCUAAACGGAUAACCAGAAAAUCUUAAUCAUUAGAUUCAUGGCGUGACUUUGGCCACGUUGAUUGUCAUAUGACCUACCUGGUAAAAUAACAGAGAUAUAGGAAUUCACUAAAUCUGUAGCAUGAAAUACAUUUGAAUCCUCUUUACCUUGUUAUUUAGGAUUACCUCACUCUACCUAGAGCUUAAGCUUGCCUAGAAUGCAUGUAUACACGAAUGAAUAAACACUUUCAAAGCUUGAGCUAUCCUUCCACCCUUUCUUUUCAUGCUGUUUUGUACAGUGCCUCUUUUCAACAUCUUAC
ensembl:lncRNA